rnacentral:rRNA from 1 species
AUUGAACGCUGGCGGCGGGCCUAAUACAUGCAAGUCGAGCGGACGAAUGGAGAUCGUUCUUGUCUUCAGUUACCGACGGGCGGGUGAUUAACAGGUAUAUGACCUGCCGUUGGGGCUGAGGUAAGGUAAGGGGCGCUAAUAUAGUAUCGGUUCUGAGGGUGAACGUGGUGGUUCAUUGGUCAUAAAGCUUUUUGAUGUGCCUAGGUCGUAUUAGCUAGUUGGUGUGGUAAAGGCGUACCAAGGCAACGAUCCGUAACUGGUCUGAGAGGAUGAUCUGCCACACUGGAACUGAGACACGGUCCAGACUCCUACGGGAGGCAGCAGUGGGGAAUAUUGCGCAAUGGGCGAAAGCCUGACGCAGCCACGCCGCGUGAGUGAUGAAGGUCUUCGGAUUGUAAAGCACUGUAAUUAGGGAAGAACAAAAGUGAAAGAAACCCUGCACGUCUUGACGGUACCAACACAGAAAGCACCGGCUAACUACGUG